UACGAAGGGGGCGAGCGUUGUUCGGAAUUACUGGGCGUAAAGGGCGCGCAGGCGGCCUUAGAAGUCAGAUGUGAAAGCCCCGGGCUCAACCUGGGAAUGGCAUUUGAUACUCUGAGGCUGGAGUACGGGAGAGGAGAGUGGAGUUCCCAGUGUAGAGGUGAAAUUCGUAGAUAUUGGGAAGAACACCGGUGGCGAAGGCGGCUCUCUGGACCGUAACUGACGCUGAGGCGCGAAAGCGUGGGGAGCAAACAGG
rnacentral:rRNA from 1 species